AAAAAAUAUAUUACACAGCAACCUCAAACAGAAUAUUAAUCAAGAGAGAGAUGUCGAUACUGUUUUUGUUUUAAUUUUUCUUGGAAGUUGUUAAGGCUGCUACAAUAUAUGUUUGCCUCUUUUAAGAAUGCUACUGCUCUAUGACCAUUUGAAUACAUUAAAAAAGCAUGAAGACAAUGCAGAGCAAGCAGCUAUUUGGAGUUGAUGGUCUACAUCAUUUCAGCAAACUAUAAUUUAAGGCCAGAGAAAUUCAAAAACAUUAUCCUUUCCCUCGAUGCUCUUUAAAAAUAGUAUAAAAUCUAAUUCAUUAAAAUGAAAACUUCUGAUCCUGAAUCCAUACAGGAGAGGGCAUGGGAAGAGGACCAUUUGUGAUCAACAGUCAAGGUUUAUCCAUCCAGCGACCAAGUUGGCUCGCUGGCCACACAUCUAGCUUUGGUCUUUUUCUUCCCAAUAACAACUAACAUCUCA